AUUGAUAUCCUUAUCCGUGAUACCCCACAGGUGCAUUCUUAAACCCUACAGCCUCAGAACCAUUGGCGCCGCUCCAAGUCAGUAUUCUCCAAAUGCAAGAUUGCAGCGUUACAUUGCAUUGUGAUACUAAAACCUCACGAUGCUGGAGAGAUACUCGUCAUCGCCAUGAACUCGUUUAGUUUCGGUUUUGACUAACUGCCAUAAAUGAGGGAGGAGUGCUCCAGAAGAUGAAGCGAUGACGGUUCUGCGUAUUGUGCUUCUUGUAGUGUGAGCACCCCAUUCGAGACAUUACUCUCCAUUACACGACGCGCGAAUUCGCCUCCUUUUGAAUUUCAAUGUUUCGUUUUUGGGUUCUGUUAAGCGUUCAAUAUGAAGAGUGAUCGAAAGUCGACGCAGGUGGAUUGUUGCCGGUUUAGCUGUUCGUAAGCGAUUCUGUUUGCUUCAGAUUCCUUGCCGCUCGUCAUUAUCUAGUUAUUGCGAGGUUUGUGUUUCUUUCGGUUGUUUUCAGUUUUUUUCGUCUUUUCUUGAGGAAUUUGUGGAGUUGUAACCGAAGUAGCGUCUCUCUAACGUGAUUUUAGGGUUGAUUAGAAUUAUGAAGCGUAGUGAGGUACAAGUUCUUGCCUCAAUUACUUACAUGCUUUGCCGCGUAGAGGAGACAUUAUUCUUGUAGAUGGUUCCUCUGUCAGGGAGCAAGAAAACUAGACUCAGAAGGGAGUCGAACCGGUUUCAGGGACGCACUUCGUUUCUUCUUUGUUUCAACCUACUCUUAACAGCAAGGGUCAUCUAGAUUUCUUGCGAAGUUCUUGAAUUUUUUGCGAUGUGCACGCUUGAUCGCCCGUUUUGCAAUAUCAGCAUUCUCUGCUGCUGUGGCUUGCGGUUAGUUUUGAUGUUUUAAAUUUAGAUAUUUAUCACAUAUUCCUACUGUCGCUGUUUGAUUUACGUACUUGAUGUAGACGACUGCUUAAGUUUGUGUAGUUGUUUUAUUCUAUUUACUAUCUUUUUUUCUUUCUCUCUGUCAUUCUGCUUGAUUUAGACUCCAUGUCUGUAGUACUUUGAAAUUCGAACUCGUGCUUGAGAAUACUGCAGGGGCCAGCCUCGAGUUCCAUGCCAAGCGGUUCGAAGUAUUGGAAUACUGGAUCGUGACGCAUGUGGAGCGGAAGUCUUACGUUCUAGCAGUGCAUUCUUUGCAAUUUAAGAAGAUUCGAGAGUGUAGGUCAGCUAUGGCAGCCAUCCAUAGGGUGCACUCUAUGGUCUUGUCCAGAACUUUGGGGCGAAUUGCCUCGAAAGCAGGUCACUCAAGCAAUCUGUCAAGGUUGUCGUUAUUUGAAAGUGCAUUAACAGCAAACCAGUUGAAGAGGCAGGCCCGACAUCUUCACGCUGCCAGUCUCUCCAAGCCCAUAGUACGGAAUAAAUCGCAUCGGCACAAGUGUUAUUCGAAGCUGGAAACUCUAGUGGCGCCUGAUGCUCAAGUCUACGAGGAAACUGUUACGCCUGAGAUGUCAAGGGAUAUAGGUCAAAGUCACAUCGAUUGGUGGAGCCAGAAAUUGCAAAAGUGCCGGAAACCGUUGACUAAAGAGAUGAUGAAACGGCUCAAGUUCACAAACCCACUUGGAUUGGACGAGUCACUUCGUGGUGGGAGUCUCAAGAAGGGCACGAAAAGCGCAGAGCUCCUAGAAAUGAAGGCUUCAUUUCCUCGAGAGAUUUUUCUAUGCAGAACAGCAGAUAUCUAUGAAGCUGUUGGGGUGGAUGCCUGCUUGCUGGUUGAGUAUGUCGGGGUAGCCCCUGUGGGGCGGAAAGACUCGGUUCCUAAGGCUGGUUGCCCAGUUGUCAAUCUUCGGCAAGCCAUCGAUGAACUGACUGAAGAGGGAUUUUCCGUCUGUGUUGUUGAGGAGGUGCAAGGAGCAGUGACCGGGCGUGGUCGUCGUAAAGAGCGCUUCAUUGCAGGGCACGCUCAUCCUGGUAGCCCGUUUAUUUACGGUUUAGCUGCCCAGAACAUAGACUUAGAGUUUCCAGAUGCUGUAUCAGUUAUUGGAAUUUCCCACUCAGAGAGAGGUUACUGUUUAAUCUUUGCCUCCGAAAUCAUGCGCACCUUUGCAGUAGAAGAUGGACUUACUGAGGAGGCAACCUUAGCCUUGCUACGUGCUCACAGAUGUCACAAGCUCUUUACACAUAGCUCCUUACAUGUUCAGUCAUCAGACAAUGGAAGUUGGGGAAAACGUGGUUUACUAUGGAAUGAAUGCCAAAGGCUGCACUAUGAAUGGUAUGAAAACGAUCCCAUUGACGACCUGCUCGCUAGAGUAAGAGAUAUCUAUGGUCUAGAUGGAUUGGCAGAAUUUCGAGAAAUAUUAGUUCCACCAGGAGAGAGGCCACGACCCCUCUACGUCGGCACUGCCUCUCAAAUAGGAAUUAUACCCACCACAGGAGUCCCCAGCUUGCUGGACGCGGUUCUUCCGAAAGAGGCCAAUCAUUUGUGUGUUUCGUAUCUUCGGAAUCUAUUGUUGCAUCCCCCUCCUUACCGAGUGGCGGAGUGUAUGCAAGGGGCCUGCGCGGCUCUUAGCGGGAUCACGAGCUCUGUCCCAGAUUUCACGUGUGUGUCAGCGGCUAAGCUGAAAAGGUUGGUAGAGGCCAAGGAAGCGAAUCACGUUGAGUUGUCGAGAAUUCGGCGAUUGGCGGAAGAUGUCCUUUACAUGAGCAGUAACUCUCUACUAUCUGGUGUUCUGGACCAGCUGCUUGAACCGGCUUGGUUGGCUACAGGCCUUCGUAUUGGAAGAAAACAGUUGAUUUCUGAUUGCAAGAUGCUUUCGGGCAAAUUGGGGCAAAUGCUAGCAUCUGAGGGUGACCAGGAUCAAACGAGGAGCCAGGGUGCAGGGAUUCCUGACGACUUUUUCAGGGACUUGGAGGACGGUUGGAGAGGCCGUGUGAAGCGAGAGCAUGCUGAAGAGGUCUAUAGAGAAGUCGAUGAUGCAGCCAAUGAGCUCAUCAAUGCAAUUAACGACGAUUUCUGUCCAAUUGUGUCGCGCAUGGAAGAGGACAAUGUUAAGGGCUUGAAAGUUGAAAUAUGCUACAGCUAUGAGGAUCAAGCCGUGUGGCUUCAAGGAAAAAACAUCAAGUCAUUAGCAGGGGCUGAUUCUUCUCUGGUUGUAGCUCUGAAUUGCCUAGUUCCAGCCGUUGAUGCCAAGGGGAAGAAGGUGGGUGAGGAGUGGUGGACAACAAGUAAGGUUGAAAGCUCUUUAGGAAAGUAUCGUGCAGCAGUUGACAAGGCUAAUGUGAGAAUCCUAGAGUUACUUAGAGCCAUAUCAGAAGACUUACAACCUAAGAUUGAGGUGCUGAUAUUUGUCUCGACCCUGUCCAUUAUUGCAAAAACAUUAAACCUUCAUGUAACGGAAGGGUCGCGUCGUAACUGGGCUGUGCCAACACUCUCCUCAACAGAAAGGCAGAUGGUGCUUGCCGAUCUAGUGCCGUAUUGGAAUGAUCUGGCACAUGAGAAAGUGCAGCCAAAUUUGGUUGACAUGAAGUCCAUGUUCCUUCUUACAGGACCCAAUGGAGGUGGAAAGUCCAGCAUGUUGAGGUCAAUUUGUGCGGGUGCUCUUCUUGCAACCUGUGGUCUUAUGGUGCCUGCUCGUGAGGCCUCAGUGCCUCGUUUGGAUGCUAUCAUUUUGCGGAUGAUGUCCACAGAUAGUCCUGCUGAUGGCAAGAGUGCAUUUCAAAUGGAAAUGGCAGAGCUUCGAACCAUUCUGGAAGAAGCAACAAACAAAAGUCUUGUCCUGGUCGAUGAGCUUUGUCGGGGUACUGAUGUAGGAAAAGGCUCUUUUAUUGCUGCUAGUGUCAUUGAAACACUGGAUCGCAUUGGUUGCAUCGGUGUUCUCUCAACGCAUUUACAUGAUCUUUUGGACAUGGAACUCCGAACGAGUAACGUUGUACAGAAGGCCAUGGGCACAAAUGAGGUGGGUGGUCGUUAUUACCCAACAUGGAAAUUGGUCGAUGGUGCCUGUAGGGAGAGUCUAGCCUUUGAAGUGGCUCGGAAGGAAGGGGUUCCUACAGGUGUAGUAGACAGAGCAGAAGAACUUUGUGUCACUAAGCUCUUAUACCCAAACGGUGUAAAUGCUCCUGAUCAUUACAAUGAGCAUGCUGGAGAGAAAACACCGAAGAGCAGUGAUGACGAUAGGAUGACUGCCGAGAAACUCUUUCUUAUGAUCGCAAGAUUUGUGAUCAAAUUCGCCAAGUCCUAAAACAUCUGAAGAUGAGCUACAUAUUGCCAACGUCAGAGCAAGAAAGACUUCUGCGUACCGCGUGUGGACCUACAAGCUGUUCAUUACUUGCGACUUUUACUAUUUGGGGAGCAUUGUAGGCGGCACAAGGGGAUCUUGGAAGGCUCAGUUUUCACCUUAAAAGUGUUGCUGUUUGAAAUAUGGGCGUGGAAGUUUUGCAGCGGAAGCCAGAAGCCUAAUUGUACAUCUCCAGGACUUUCAGAUUCUUCAACGUCUUGCACAUGUACUAGCAGAGGACCCAUGUUUGGUUUCAGGAUCUCUUUUUUGCAUCUGACAUCUUGUAUGGAUAAAGCACUCAGUCGGGUUUUUCAGUUGGGUGUUCUCCCUGCAAUCGUCCAGAUGCAUUUCGUUUUGGAUUAUUGUACCAGAGAUAGCAUCAAGGAGUCUAUGUCUUCGAAUAAUGUAGGUAAGUCUCAGAUCGUACUCAUUUAGCUGAGGUGAGAUUAUCAUUUAUCUUAACAGGGAGCCUAUUUGUCUUUCGGCUUCCACAUUCGACAUUGAACAUUUAAUCCAACAGUUUAUUAUCAAA